GGGGGUGUGGCGGAACUGGCAGACGCAGCGGACUUAAAAUCCGCCGGCCCAAAGCCGUGAGGGUUCGAGUCCCUCCACCCCCA
rnacentral:tRNA from 1 species